GCAAGUCGAGCGGUAAGGUCUGCACAGGUUGUUUGAUCGGAGUUUACUCCUACGCAUCUUCUAGGCUAGAAGGUGUUAUGUAUCGAAUGAUGUGUGUAGAGUACACGAGCGGCGGACGGCUGAGUAACGCGUAGGAACAUACCCCAAAGUGAGGGAUAAGCACCAGAAAUGGUGUCUAAUACCGCAUGUGGUCUUCGGAUUAAAGCUUUAUGCGCUUUGGGAAUGGCCUGCGUUCGAUUAGCUUGUUGGUGAGGUAAUAGCUCACCAAGGCUUUGAUCGAUAGCUGGUCUGAGAGGAUGACCAGCCAGACUGGAACUGAGACACGGUCCAGACUCCUACGGGAGGCAGCAGUGGGGAAUUUUCCACAAUGGACGAAAGUCUGAUGGAGCAACGCCGCGUGCAGGAUGAAGGCUUUCGGGUCGUAAACUGCUUUUAUAGGUGAAGAUUAUGACGGUAACCUAUGAAUAAGGAUCGGCUAAUUACGUG
rnacentral:rRNA from 1 species